GUGAACUUGGGCAAGUGACCUAAUCCUCUGCGUUUCAUCUCUAAAUUGGGGAGAAUAGAAGCAUCUAUUUCAUGUAGUAGCCAGGAUUAGAAGAGAUGGGGCCACUUGAGGGAAAAGACCUACCCAAGGGCACAUAAUCUGUACAUGAGAGAGAGCCAGAUGUAACAGACUGAGUACUGGACUUGGGGUUAAACAGAGUGUGAAUCCUUCCACCCCAUUGGCAAGUUACCUUGGACAAGUUACUUUAAUCUCCCUGAGCCUCAAUCUGCUCAUCUUUAAGAUGGAAGUCUUAAUAAUCUCCUCAUAGGGGAUUAAACAAGAACAUGAACGCACCUUUUCUAACACAGUGUCUGAGAUGAAUAGAUGUUCAAAAUAGGGGUUCAUUUGCUUCUUUGCUCUUUGGCUCCCACCUUUUUUUCAACUGCCCCAAAUCUCUUUCUGCUCACCUUUUCUUGUUCCAUGGGGUCUUUACACCACCAUGUUAGCAUGUGUUUCUGCUACAUGGUUAUUUCUCUUUUAGAAGCAAGUGAGUGAAGGGAGGGCCCAGUGGGCAGCUCAGAACUCAGUAAUAAAACCAUACAGAAUCCAUCUCAAA
rnacentral:lncRNA from 1 species